CCUCACACUGAGGACAAGGUUCCUCACUCUGAAGACAAGGUGCUUCACACUGAGGACAAGGUUCUUCACUCUUAGAACACUGACGAACCUUGUCCUCAGAGUCACAAACCUUCUUUUCAGAGAAAGGAACCUUCUCAUCAGGGUGAGGAACCUUGUCCUCAGAGUGAGA